UAUAAUUGAUGCCCCCCAUAGGGGGCCUCACAGCGAUCCUCGACUCUCAGUCGUCGGAUCUUCUCACCUGUGCAUCUCAUCCGUUCAUCUUUUUCACUGCAUCAUAUAAAAAGACACCCCAUGGUGAAACCCUAGACGCCUCUCCACACUCUCCCAAUCCCAGCCGCCACAGCCCUUUCUCUCCUCCAAUCCCACGUUCCUCUCUCUCUAUCGAACAAUCACCCUCACGCGAGCUCGAGCCAGCUCCAUGCCCUCCCCGCGCCGCCGCCCACACGCCAGCUCCGCGACGCCUCCUCACUGCUCGCUCCCGCGUGCCUUCUCCCUGCUCACCCCGCGCGGUCCAGCCCGAGAAACGCCCAGGCCUUUGCCUCCGUCGCGCCGGCUGCCGCCGCCGCCGUGUUCUCCGGUGCGAGGCCGCUAGGAGAGCUCCUCAAUGCCACCAAAGCAGGGGAGGUCGCCCCUGCUAGGAGGAGCUAAACCGUGGCGAGCGCAUCGUCUCGGCGGCGCGAUAGACCUACAGAAAUUAAUUUUCCUUUGUGUGUACAGCCGGUGUGGUGUUUGUCUGCUGGUUUAGAUUGGAAGAUUGGAUAUCACAAGAAAAUAUUUGGUACGAGCUGCUCCAUGGUCUUUGGUAGUUCGGUGAGGAGGCAGACAUGGCAUAGUCCAGCAAUGGUGUGUCACGAUGGUGUAGCGAAUCCUUGCUGCUACAUUCAGGUAUGGAAAGACAUGAAGCAGAACAGCAAAAGAAAAAAGGUAAAUGCUCCCUCUAAUGAUUUUAUUAGAGGAGGCACUCAAGUUUAUUUCUGUGGUUUUCCUUGAUAUUUGUAGGAUAUGUAUUAGAUGGAUGGAGUGUGCAAUCCUGGAAAUUAAUACUUUAAAUCACUGGUUGUAUAACAAGGGUGCAAUGUUUUAUGAGUUAUGCAUUGUUUGACAUGUGGAACCUUCUGUGUUUAUUAUUGUAAAGCUUGCUUCUGUUUCAAGUCUGUUUCAGCCCCAGCUUAAUAGCUGGCUCUGGUUCCUACUUUGCUUUUCCAGAAGUCUUCUGUGUUGUGUGCUAAAAUCACUUUUGUUCUAAUUAAAUUGGUAACAUCAUAUUAGAAUUGAUGGGUUUCAUGCCUUUCUUUGGUUCUGUUUUAUCCUAUUAUCUUACAGCGCAUCCCAGUUGUUAUCUUGUGGGUUCAUGUUUUUUUCACCUUUGUACAGAAGAUUGUUACCCACACUGGAAUGCGGUGCUGUCAUUUCGAAUAAGCUCAGUUCAUGAGGAAACUGAGCUCUGCCUGAUUUUGUCUUGACCAAUGCGCUGUCAUGGCAUAAUUAUUUGCCAUUUCUUCCUAUACCGCUUAAACAAAUAUUACCUUUCUUAUUUGUAUUCCGGCAUCUUAGAAGCAUUUGCAUCGGUCACCUUUAGUGUACAUUAAAUAGUAGGAAUUUUAUCUUCGUAUUUGAAAUGACUUGAGUUCGUUUGGAAAAUUACCCCUACGCAUUGCUCACAAUGAAACGAUGUGCUGUUGUUCCGAUUAUUCGGCUCCAUGCAAACACUGAGUUUUUAGCCUAAAAUCAUGUCUACACAUAUCUUCUAUUGCCUUCCCUUUGAUGGUUUUCUAAGGAGAUUUGUUGGCCAUGCUUAUUGGAUACCAUGUAUUUUUUUAGAUUAUUGUGCCUAUGCCAUGGACCGGUCGUGUAUAGGAUGUCGUCUUUUGGCUCUUUUUUACAAUUACGAUUACCUAGGGCAUUUGUUUUCUUAUUUGUCCCAUCUUUGAAAUGUCCAGGAAAUCUUUUGCUUCCUCCUUCCUUUGUUGUUACUAACUGUGCACUGUGUUUCAGCGGAUAUGCUAUCCGUACCCUUUGCAACACUGAAUCAGCUGUUGCUAUAUUUGUUGGCACCACCGUUCAAGAAUAUGAUGAGGUCUGGCCGGUGGGUCGCCUAUUCAUGGUACAUUAAUGAAGAUAUCAUCGACAUCAAUGUAUUUCAAGCAAGCCCAUUGCACAUGCCCCGUUGCCGCAUCUCCUUCCUCUCUGAACUCAGGUUGGCGAGAACUGGCCUACAAAACAUGUUGCUCUGCUGGCUGCACUCAAUCCUUUUUAAAAGAAGGAAGCUGACUUUCGAUGCACUGUCACAAUAUCAAGAAUUUCCUCCAGGCAGCAAUAGUGGUACACUGGUUGUCAGCGCUAUCAUAGGAAGCUGACUUUCAAAUGCUAAUGAACUAGGUAGCCUGACAUGGUUGUUGUGUUCUUUACCCUUUUUUGCAGGUCGCCGUAUUGUUCAAGGUUGCUGACCGGCGGCUACCGUUGGUUCUCUUCUGGAUUUAGGAUUCUGCUAUGUUGCUGGUCUGUACCACAGGGCGUCGCUAUGUUUGUUUUUCUGUCAGGUUUGGUGUUUGAUAAAUAGAUUCGUUUUCAUCCAAAGCUAGGUCUGUAUGACUUCAAAGGUUCAUGCGGCGUCGUCUCCUACACCGAGUUUCAUUGCCGGUGAAAGGCAACCAGUUAAAACGCGUGGCGAUGCUAAUACUAUCAGGUUCAGCUUCAGCUUCAGCUUCAUGGCUGACCUUAGAUUGGUCAUUGAACGUGAAUAUGCUUCACUCGACAAAUGGCCUUGCCACAGCUAGAUCGCAAGUUCUAGCAGAUCAAAUUUUGGAGUUGUUGCGUACUUACAUGCUUGGACUAGGAUCACCAUCGUGCUGAAGCUGUUAGACAUGGCUGCCAACAAGGUCACUACCUUCAUCAAAGGUAUCCAAAUUAAUCCAUGUAUUGGCUUCUCUGAAAUUUCACGCGCUUUGAUCUCGCUCCAUGACACCACCGAAUUAUAUAUCAUGCUGAUGAGGACAGAGGACCAGUGAGGAGGGAGAUUAGUGGUGUAUCUGAGUGCUUCUUAGGUUGACAAUCAUUAACAAAAAGUCAAGGUUGCUUGCUCCUGACGGAGAUCAAGGCUCUUUGGAGGUUAUUCAAGAGGGUCAGGUUGUCCGUUACAUGUUUGUUCAGAUGUUGAAUGUCUUGUCACAUAUUUAGAAACGUUUGUUUCCCUUGGAGCGUGUUUGUUUAUAAGAUACAAUUGUAUUUCCAGUAUUGCCGUCUUGUUUUCCUGUGAGCUAAUUUUGUAAGAGAAUGAGAUUCAGAGCAAAUUACUUCAAGACGUUUUGUCUCA